rnacentral:rRNA from 1 species
CCGGCGCACGGGUGAGUAACGCGUAUGCGACCUGCCCGUUGCAGGGGGGAUAAUCGGGAGAAAUCCCGUCUAAUACCGCGUAACGCCGCGGGGCUGCAUGGCCCUGCGGCCAAAGGGAGCGAUUCCGGCAACGGAUGGGCAUGCGUGACAUUAGCUAGUUGGCGGGGCAACGGCCCACCAAGGCGACGAUGUCUAGGAGUUCUGAGAGGAAGGUCCCCCACACUGGUACUGAGACACGGACCAGACUCCUACGGAAGGCAGCAG